CGUUCUGCUGGCUGCCACGUGCUGCCUUGGCAGCGUUGCUCCUGCACCGUUCCCGAGGUCUGCUGCUGCUCGUCCGCCAGCCAAAGGUUCGUGCUCCAUUAUGGCUGAAGCAAAUGUAUUGAUUUCCUCAUCCAUGAACGGGGACUGUUCCGUUUUUUGUUCUUUCCAUUUCCUCUUUUCUUUUUCUUUCUUUCUUUCUUUUUCUUUUUUUUUU
rnacentral:lncRNA from 1 species